rnacentral:tRNA from 1 species
CAGAUUAUGCCUAGGGUUAUUUAUUAUUUACAUUAAUAGAUUAUUUGUGCAAUUCAAAUUGAUCUGA